rnacentral:lncRNA from 1 species
UUGACCUCUCGCACCAUACUUAGAGAAGGCAUUGUAUGGUCUUUUGACUGUUUCAGGGUUGGGACAUGCGUAGAUUUUUGUCUGAAAAAUUAUUUGGAUUUCGUUUCAGAUAUUCUCAAAUUUUAAAUAAACUAAUAAUAAAUUUAUUUAUACAAAAUAAGUAAAUGUUUUAAGAAGUUUUUUUUUUGUGUAGAAAAACUGUAUAAAUCAGAAGAGUUCUUGAAAAAGGAAACAGAAGAUAGAAUUAGAGGAAGCGCCUUAAUGUUUUUGAUUACGUAAAGGGCAAAUCUCUAAAAUAGCACAUUUCUAAGUUUAUAUCACAAAAAU